rnacentral:rRNA from 1 species
GACUGAGACACGGCCCAGACUCCUACGGGAGGCAGCAGUGGGGAAUAUUGCGCAAUGGGCGAAAGCCUGACGCAGCCAUGCCGCGUGAGUGAAGAAGGCCUUCGGGUUGUAAAGCUCUUUCAACGGUGAAGAUGAUGACGGUAGCCGUAGAAGAAGCCCCGGCUAACUUCGUGCCAGCAGCCGCGGUAAUACGAAGGGGGCAAGCGUUGUUCGGAAUUACUGGGCGUAAAGGGCGUGUAGGCGGAUCGACCAGUCAGGGGUGAAAUCCCGGGGCUCAACCUCGGAACUGCCUUUGAUACUGUCGAUCUAGAGUCUGUGAGAGGGUGGCGGAAUACCCAGUGUAGAGGUGAAAUUCGUAGAUAUUGGGUAGAACACCAGUGGCGAAGGCGGCCACCUGGCACAGUACUGACGCUGAGGCGCGAAAGCGUGGGGAGCAAACAGGAUUAGAUACCCUGGUAGUCCACGCCGUAAACGAUGUCAGCUAGCCGUUGGGUGUUAGGCACUCAGUGGCGCCGCUAACGCAUUAAGCUG